AAUUUCUGUCUCACCAUUGCAACAAAAUUAUUACCGAAAGGAUUGUAGACAGUCCUUCCAGAAAUUUCCUAUCACAUUUUUUGACACAGGAUUUGAGGAGAUCUCAGAUGCAGGAACCAGGCACUGCUCAUAGCUCUUGGACUGGAGGGGUACAUCUGGGCACUGACUCACUGCUGUCUUACAAUAACCAGGCAAAAGCUGAAAAUUACAAAACCUCCAGA